rnacentral:rRNA from 1 species
AGAGUUUGAUCCUGGCUCAGGACGAACGCUGGCGGUGUGCCUCACACAUGCAAGUCGAACGGGGUAGCAAUACCCAGUGGCGGACGGGUGAGUAACACGUGGGAAUCUGCCUCAAAGAGGGGGAUAGCAGACCGAAAGGUCUAUUAAUACCCCAUAGUACGCAAGUUUAAAGGAGCAAUCCGCUUUGAGAUGAGCCCGCG